rnacentral:tRNA from 1 species
GUUUAGAUAGCUCAAAAAGGUAGAGCAUAAGAUUGAAAAUCUUUGUGUUAAAGGUUCAAGUCCUUUUCUAAACA